AGAAAAAAAAAGAAAGAAAAAAGCUGCCCGUGCCACCACAGAGGUUUCACAAUUACAGUAUUAGCAAAUACACUCACACACUUACACGCAUUUUAUGUUAACAGUACGGCCCGUUAAGCGAAACAACGCUUAAUUCUGUGAAAUAUUUUCUCCAUUACCUUGUUUUUUUCCCUCAGACUGCACUAUUAAUUUAGUAUAUCAACAAACACGAAAACGUAAACAAGACACUAACCAGAGGUAAACAGCCGGAAGGGAAAAUUCCUAAAGGACGCGUGAGUGGCUGGAGUGACGCAGCUGAGGUCGCCCUCUUUCGGACACGCAGACCUUUUCCACAACACCAGGACUGAAGAGUGUCGAGAGGAGCCGUGUCAAGGUAGACUCUUGCAGCUGGAGCAAACAGGUCCCAGCACCAUGACCUCACACAGCAGGACAGCCUCCUCUCGAUGGAUUGUUCAAAACAUGAGGAGAAAGAAGGGGAAAAGGAGAAGUCCCAUUCAAUGCAAGACCUUCCUUCCAUUCUAAGAAGAAGGGCGCCGUCCUUGGCUAGUGCAUGACGAACAAUAGCAGAGCGGCACAGAGCGGGGCCAUGGCCCAAACUCUUCACUCGCGUGACCGUUUGGGACUUGAAAAUAUUCCAUUACGAGAGAACUAUUGUUUACAAAGACCUUUCAUACAGGACAGAGAGCACUGUGAACUCUCGAGUACAUGGGGCAUACCGCAAUGGAUUCACAUAUUUCGUUAUCAUGCAGAACUACAUCUCAAAUGAUAGUAAUUUUUGCUUUAUUUUGUAAAAGAGAAAAUAUAAAGCAUGACUUAAUUAUUCCCCAGGCUAAUUAGCCUAACGUAGAUGCAUAGCACCACCUUCUGCAAACAGGUCUAAAAAGAUAACUGAUGCUGCAGGGUUGGCUCCUUGUGAUCUGACCUCUAGCAUGCUUAUUAACAAACACAGCAUGGUGGAUUAAAGACCUGAGGUUUAAUUAAAUGAAUUGAAUCUGUAUAAUUUCGUUUUCUGGAAGGGCAAAAAAAAGAAAGUGAGCUCCUGUCAAAAACUGUCAAAAUGCGUGAAGAACUUUACAUGCAACAUUUCAAACAAAUCCCUUCUCAAAAAUCUCUCUCAGUUAAAAAAAAAAUAUAUAAAUAUUUUUAUGUUUAGGAAAGGUGAAAAUAAUUCAUGAGAUAACUGUUAAAACAAGAAAAAGUAUAAAGGAUUCUAUUUAGGCUUUAAAGGAGAAAACGUUGUAUGCCACAAAUGCAGAUGUGAUAGGUGUGGUACUAUAGACCGUCAGCAGCAGCCCUGAAAUGAGUCUCUGCUAAUGAUUGUGCCUCUUUUAAAAAGAGGAAGUGUGACUAGAGUCUCCCCUUCUGCAUCCAAAACUAGAAGUGAUCUUUCACAGACGGCUUUAUUACUGUGACCUUCGUCUGACAUUUCAUACUGAGGGUUACAAUCAAUACAGAUCUGUCCAUGAAUGAAAAACACUUAAACACAUUAAACAUAUGAGUAGCACUCAGCAUGUCUUCAGUUGAUUAACCUCUGAGGUGAUAG